GUUGAAACACCGGUUCCCGUACGACUACUGAAGUUAAGCAACGACGAUCCUGGUCAGUACCUAGAGAGGUGACCAUUUGGGAAUAUCAGGUGGUGUAA